UACGUAGGUGGCAAGCGUUGUCCGGAAUCACUGGGCUUAAAGCGUGUGUAGGCGGAUCGUUAAGUACCUUGUGAAAUCCCACGGCUUAACCGUGGAACUGCUUGGUAUACUGGCGGUCUUGAGCCAGCUAGGGGCUACCGGAACAAAUGGUGGAGCGGUGAAAUGCGUAGAUAUCAUUUGGAACGCCAAUGGUGAAAACAGGUAGCUGGGGCUGUGCUGACGCUGAGACACGAAAGCCAGGGGAGCAAACGGG
rnacentral:rRNA from 1 species